rnacentral:rRNA from 1 species
ACGGGUGAGUAAUACGUGAGUAACCUACCUUUAACUCUGGGAUAAGCCUGGGAAACUGGGUCUAAUACCGGAUACGACCAAUCUCCGCAUGGGGUGUUGGUGGAAAGCGUUAUGUAGUGGUUAUAGAUGGGCUCACGGCCUAUCAGCUUGUUGGUGAGGUAACGGCUCACCAAGGCGACGACGGGUAGCCGGCCUGAGAGGGUGACCGGCCACACUGGGACUGAGACACGGCCCAGACUCCUACGGGAGGCAGCAGUGGGGAAUAUUGCACAAUGGGCGCAAGCCUGAUGCAGCGACGCCGCGUGAGGGAUGACGGCCUUCGGGUUGUAAACCUCUGUUAGCAGGGAAGAAGAGAGAUUGACGGUACCUGCAGAGAAAGCGCCGGCUAACUACGUGCCAGCAGCCGCGGUAAUACGUAGGGCGCGAGCGUUGUCCGGAAUUAUUGGGCGUAAAGAGCUUGUAGGCGGUUUGUCGCGUCUGCUGUGAAAGGCCGGGGCUUAACUCCGUGUAUUGCAGUGGGUACGGGCAGACUAGAGUGCAGUAGGGGAGACUGGAAUUCCUGGUGUAGCGGUGGAAUGCGCAGAUAUCAGGAGGAACACCGAUGGCGAAGGCAGGUUUCUGGGCUGUAACUGACGCUGAGAAGCGAAAGCAUGGGGAGCGAACAGGAUUAGAUACCCUGGUAGUCCAUGCCGUAAACGUU